UACAGAGGGUGCAAGCGUUGUCCGGAAUUACUGGGCGUAAAGGGCGCGUAGGCGGCUUGAUAAGUAGGAGGUGAAAUCUCAUGGCUCAACCAUGAAACUGCCUUCUAAACUGUCAGGCUUGAGCACGGUAGAGGCAGAUGGAAUUCCCGGUGUAGCGGUGGAAUGCGUAGAGAUCGGGAAGAACACCAGUGGCGAAGGCGGUCUGCUGGGCCGUUGCUGACGCUGAUGCGCGACAGCGUGGGGAGCAAACAGG
rnacentral:rRNA from 1 species